UGUCUUCUUUAAGCAAAACCGAGAUCUGUUUCAGGGGAAGAGCCUGGCCUUCCAGUGCUGUUGGGACCCACGCUUAGUCAUAGACCUCACCUACUUACCUUGUCCUUGACCUGAGUAUAGCUGAACUCCUUUCCUAUGAAUCACUGGCUCACUGGAGUCCUGAGCUCGAGCAGCCUCUUGAGCACAUACCAACAUUUGAAGACCCAUAAAUCUUAGGAGGGAAGAGCAAGAGUCCCAAAUUCAUCUGUUCAAAAACCACAACCAUGGCCAGACUUCGAAGAUGAGUUUGGAAAAAACUCUGUUGGAUGAAAAAUGUUCAUUGUGGACAUAAAGGACUUGACUUCCCCUAGUUGUUUUUCCCUACCUUCUUUGAUGAAACUAAAUUGUCCAUCACUGGCUGCUAUACUGGAAGAGCAAUUUCUCCCUCUUCUGAGAACUAUUCAUGACCAAUUACUCCUGAAACUAGCCAAUACAUCCUUGUGAUAAAC